rnacentral:rRNA from 1 species
AGAGUUUGAUCAUGGCUCAGAACGUACGCUGGCGGCACGCCUAACACAUGCAAGUCGAACGAAGUAGCAAUACUUAGUGGCAGACGGGUGAGUAACAUGUGGGUAUCUACCCUUUGGCCCGGAAUAACACGAGGAAACUUGUGCUAAUACCGGAUAAGUCUUUACGGAGAAAGCUUUAUGCACCAUUGGAUGAGCCCGCACUUGAUUAGUUUGUUGGUAGGGUAAUGGCCUACCAAGACUAUGAUCAAUAGCUGAUUUGAGAGGAUGAUCAGUCACAUUGGGACUGAGACACGGCCCAAACUCCUACGGGAGGCAGCAGUGGGGAAUCUUGCACAAUGGAGGAAACUCUGAUGCAGCGAUGCCGCGUGAGUGAAGAAGGCCUUUGGGUUGUAAAGCUCUUUCGUCGGGGAAGAAAAUGACUGUACCCGAAUAAGAAGGUCCGGCUAACUUCGUGCCAGCAGCCGCGGUAAUACGAAGGGACCUAGCGUAGUUCGGAAUUACUGGGCUUAAAGAGUUCGUAGGUGGUUGAAAAAGUUGGUGGUGAAAUCCCAGAGCUUAACUCUGGAACUGCCAUCAAAACUUUUCAGCUAGAGUAUGAUAGAGGAAAGCAGAAUUUCUAGUGUAGAGGUGAAAUUCGUAGAUAUUAGAAA